GUUCUCCAGCUUUACUUCCCGUCUCUACAACUCCAGCAGCUUGGUAUUCAGUGCUUCUCCUUGCGUCGAGCUACUCCCCAGUGUGAUCCGCUUGGAGAACGCCUGUCUGCCCUCUGGAGUCCUGCACCGUUCCUCUUCGAUUCCGGUUACAGUGUGCUGUACGACGUUCCAG